rnacentral:rRNA from 1 species
ACAAUGAAGAGUUUGAUCCUGGCUCAGGAUGAACGCUAGCUACAGGCUUAACACAUGCAAGUCGAGGGGCAGCAGGAUCUAGCAAUAGAUUGCUGGCGACCGGCGCACGGGUGAGUAACACGUAUCCAACCUGCCGAUAACUCGGGGAUAGCCUUUCGAAAGAAAGAUUAAUACCCGAUGGUAUAAUCAGACCGCAUGGUCUUGUUAUUAAAGAAUUUCGGUUAUCGAUGGGGAUGCGUUCCAUUAGGCAGUUGGUGAGGUAACGGCUCACCAAACCUUCGAUGGAUAGGGGUUCUGAGAGGAAGAUCCCACAUUGGAACUGAGACACGGUCCAAACUCCUACGGGAGGCAGCAGUGAGGAAUAUUGGUCAAUGGGCGCAGGCCUGAACCAGCCAAGUAGCGUGAAGGAUGACUGCCCUAUGGGUUGUAAACUUCUUUUAUAUGGGAAUAAAGUUUUCCACGUGUGGAAUUUUGUAUGUACCAUAUGAAUAAGGAUCGGCUAACUCCGUGCCAGCAGCCGCGGUAAUACGGAGGAUCCGAGCGUUAUCCGGAUUUAUUGGGUUUAAAGGGAGCGUAGGUGGACAGUUAAGUCAGUUGUGAAAGUUUGCGGCUCAACCGUAAAAUUGCAGUUGAUACUGGCUGUCUUGAGUACAGUAGAGGUGGGCGGAAUUCGUGGUGUAGCGGUGAAAUGCUUAGAUAUCACGAAGAACUCCGAUUGCGAAGGCAGCUCACUGGACUGCAACUGACACUGAUGCUCGAAAGUGUGGGUAUCAAACAGGAUUAGAUACCCUGGUAGUCCACACAGUAAACGAUGAAUACUCGCUGUUUGCGAUAUACAGUAAGCGGCCAAGCGAAAGCAUUAAGUAUUCCACCUGGGGAGUACGCCGGCAACGGUGAAACUCAAAGGAAUUGACGGGAGCGCACAAGCGGAGGAACAUGUGGUUUAAUUCGAUGAUACGCGAGGAACCUUACCCGGGCUUAAAUUGCAUUUGAAUAUAUUGGAAACAGUAUAGCCGUAAGGCAAAUGUGAAGGUGCUGCAUGGUUGUCGUCAGCUCGUGCCGUGAGGUGUCGGCUUAAGUGCCAUAACGAGCGCAACCCUUAUCUUUAGUUACUAACAGGUCAUGCUGAGGACUCUAGAGAGACUGCCGUCGUAAGAUGUGAGGAAGGUGGGGAUGACGUCAAAUCAGCACGGCCUUACGUCCGGGGCUACACACGUGUUACAAUGGGGGGUACAGAAGGCAGCUACCUGGUGACAGGAUGCUAAUCCCAAAAGCCUCUCUCAGUUCGGAUCGAAGUCUGCAACCCGACUUCGUGAAGCUGGAUUCGCUAGUAAUCGCGCAUCAGCCAUGGCGCGGUGAAUACGUUCCCGGCCUUGUACACACCGCCCGUCAAGCCAUGAAAGCCGGGGGUACCUGAAGUACGUAACCGCAAGGAGCGUCCUAGGGUAAAACUGGUAAUUGGGGCUAAGUCGUAACAAGGUAGCCGUACCGGAAGGUGCGGCUGGAACACCUCCUUU